rnacentral:rRNA from 1 species
GACGAACGCUGGCGGCGUGCCUAAUACAUGCAAGUAGAACGCUGAAGGAGGAGCUUGCUCUUCUGGAUGAGUUGCGAACGGGUGAGUAACGCGUAGGUAACCUGCCUGGUAGCGGGGGAUAACUAUUGGAAACGAUAGCUAAUACCGCAUAAGAGUAGAUGUUGCAUGACAUUUACUUAAAAGGUGCAAUUGCAUCACUACCAGAUGGACCUGCGUUGUAUUAGCUAGUUGGUGGGGUAACGGCUUACCAAGGCGACGAUACAUAGCCGACCUGAGAGGGGGAUCGGCCACACUGGGAGUGAGACACGGCCCAGACUCCUACGGGAGGCAGCAGUAGUGAAUCUGCGGCAAUGGACGGAAGUCUGACCGAGCAACGCCGCGUGAGUGAAGAAGGUUUUCGGAUCGUAAAGCUCGGUUGUAAGAGAAGAACGAGUGUGAGAGUGGAAAGUUCACACUGUGACGGUAACUUACCAGAAAGGGACGGCUAACUACGUG